rfam:Camelus ferus unplaced genomic scaffold scaffold931, whole genome shotgun sequence.
GGGGGUAUAGCUUAAGUGGCAGAGCGCAUGUUUAGCAUACAUGAGGUCUUGGGUUCAAUCCCCAGUACUUCCU